rnacentral:lncRNA from 1 species
CUCACUGCAACCACCACCUCCUGGGGUCAAGCAAUCCUCCCACCUCAGCUUCCCAAGUAGCUGAGACUACAGGUUCUCAGGUGAAGCGCCAAGUAUGUCACUGAAAGCCCAGUGGAGUUAAGUGUGCAAAGUCAGUCUGAACAUAUGCUGUAAUGGAUUUGACCUCGAAUAGCACUACAAAGAGAAAUUGCAGAUAACCAUCUGAACUGACUUCUGAAGCUUGUAGUUCUGGCUCCUGAGAUACAGAGAGAAAAGUGAGACCAAACAGGUGGGAGCAAACAACUCAGAGAGACCAGAAUGAAUACGAGUCUAACUUUAAAA